UAAUACAGAGGUCCCAAGCGUUGUUCGGAUUUACUGGGCGUAAAGGGUGCGUAGGUGGCGGGGUAAGUCUGGUGUGAAAGCUCCGAGCUCAACUCGGAAAAGCAUUGGAAACUAUCCCGCUUGAGGGUCGGAGGGGAGACUGGAAUUCUCGGUGUAGCAGUGAAAUGCGUAGAUAUCGAGAGGAACACCAGUGGCGAAGGCGAGUCUCUGGACGACUCCUGACACUGAGGCACGAAAGCUAGGGGAGCAAACAGGAUUAGAUACCCUGGUAGUCCUAGCUGUAAACGGUGCACAUUUGCUGUAAGAGGAAUCGACCCCUUUUGUGGCGAAGCUAACGCGUUAAAUGUGCCGCCUGGGGAGUACGGUCGCAAGAUUA
rnacentral:rRNA from 1 species